rnacentral:tRNA from 1 species
AGUCUUAUAUUCAAAAACGAUGAUAUCAGAAUGCAAUUCUGAAGGUGUGUUAAAAUACUAAGACUU